CGGCGCAGGGUUUGCCCUCGCCCUCCCUGUGUUCCGCCCACACUGACGCUUCCCGCGAAUUUCAUGCGGACUGCAGGAGAGGAGUGAGGCAGACACGACUCUCGCUGGCGGGAAUGAGCUCCGCGCUCCAAAUACACUGCGGCACAGGUCAUACAAGGAAAGUGCAGAAGCAAGAAAAAGAAGGGAGGGGCAGUGUUGCACAGCCGAAGAGCGAAGUCUGGCUGAUCUAGAUAAAAGACCAAGGCUGUCACUGGCGGCAUAUGUUUGUCUCUUGAUGGCUGUACUAGACACUAAUCAGACCCCCUUUUUUUUUUUUUUGUUCUUUGGUCAUUUGCUUGGUUCUGUUUCACAGAGAGAGGCUACCGUUUACUCUAGUCCUGGCUGAGGUAGUAGUUUGUGCUGUUGGUCGGGUUGUGACACUGCCCGCUGUGGAGAUAACUGCGCAAGCUACUGCCUUGCUAGUGCUGGGGAUGAGCUGCUCAUGGAGAUGAGGCCCUCGUUACCUUUAUUGCCCUCCCCCAACAUGCAUUCUUUUUCUACUGUUCUGUGUUCCUUUCACUUUUAUAUUAAAUACAAUAAAGGUUUUGUAAGAUGAUAUCAGGUUGCCACUAAGUCUUUUUUAUUGCAGCCUGCAUGUGAGUAUUAAUGUGGUGUGUGUGUGUGAUUACAUUUUUUGUUAAUGUGGUGUUGCGCAUAGUAACCGCUAUUACAAAGCCAAAAUUGAAUUUUUUUAAUACUAUUAGGUAAAGUUGUGGUUUUUUUUUCUCAGUAUUUUGUGUGGUUAAUCAUAUGUAAUUCUUGUUUAUCAGACAGGCAUUUCAAUAUGUUGAUCAGCCAAGCAGGACAUGCGGUACAUUAAAUAUUUACAAUGCACUGGCGUGAUUCCUUGGUGCACAUUUGUCACACAGCAUGCAUUGUCAUUUCAUUUGUAUCUAACAUUUUUCUGCAGCAGAUGGCAAAUUAAUGUGCAAAUAGACUGACUGUUUUUAUAACAUGCAGUUGUACAGUUUACAUCUAUUUACUGGUAUGUCAACAAAUUUGAAAAUUGGGUAAGACAAUGCCACUAGAAGUUAUCUCCUAACUUCUUUUUACAGGAAGUGUAAAGGCCAUUGCAUUUCUGGCCAGAUCGACGUGUAUUUUAUGUAUCUGCUAAAAAAUAUUUUUAGCCUGCAUGUAAAUGCAGCCACCACAUUUCUGGUCUGCUAAGCUGCAAUAUAUUAAAUUUUGCUCUGGAUUUAGUUUGUUAGCUUUGCCAAAAUACAGGUAGUUUGUAUACCUUCCUUUAUGAUUCGUACCUAUAGGUAAGCCCAGAAUAAGGCUUAGCUAUAGGUACUGUAAAUAUCUUCUAAACAUGUGUCGUUUAGGAGAUAUUUUGAGUAUACUGUACACAUAAUAAUGGGCGCAUGCGAUUUGAAGGAACGGCUGCCCAUGCUAUUUCUUCGGGAGAGUAUGCUGUGACCGGCGGCUCUAGCCAGUCACACAGCCAAAGCCCCGGAUAGAAGAUGGAUGCGGCCUGCAGCGGGAUGACGCAUGCUUCGUUUGCAGGUAAGUGUCACAUUAUGCCUUUACUUUGCAGGGGGGGGGGGGGGAGAAAUCCCAGAAUUUACUUCCUCUUUGAGUGGAAAAAGUUACUUUUACCUGUUUGAGAUAUCAGUCCUGUUUUGUGUAGGAGAAUGCACUCUGUCUCUUCUUCCCAUUGGUCACAAGGUAAAGUCAUAUGCUGUGGGGCUGAUUUGUUAGCAACCUGUGAAUCAUGCACCAGAAUUUUCAUGAAUCGUUUCAGUCCAGGUAGUAGUAGAUACUGAUUCUAGAUGAUACCUGAGCAAAGACAGCACCAUCCUUCUGGAGAGAAAGGCAAAUGAAAGUGUUGUCAGGGGAGCAGUGGGAUCUGUGAGAAGUAAGUAUUAUACUUACAAAUUAACAUUAA